AGGAAUCAAAUCAUGAAUAUCCACUCUUUCACCUAAGGCAGUGCUUACAUAGUCCAGUGUUUGUAUUAGUUCUACCAACAAUUUGGUAGGAACUGGCUAUCCCAAUGGGCCACCAUAGAAGGAAACUUUGAAUUCAAAUCUAAAGCAACCACUGUCCAAUGAUUCCCACUGAUCAAUGUAUUUGAUGCAACAGAAGAUCCAGUUAUGGCAUCAAUUUGUACGUUGACAAUCAGGAAUAUAAGUCUAAUCUUCUUUCUGUUGUUCAGAGCUAAUGCUAUGGAUGUGUUCAACGUGAAUUAGCAAACUUUGGAUAGCACAAGGCAAAGACAAUCUUGUGAUGAGCAAUUGAGAAGCGAUGCCAUACCUUCAAGCAGUGUAUCAGGAUGUGUGAAGAAUAUUGGAAGGUGGAUCGGGGAAUGACAUGUUAAAGUACUCUCUAGCAAAAUCUAGCGACUGCUGUGACAUUUCUUACCAGAUUUAUGACGUUUGUUUACCAGUUUACAAUGCUGUAUACGCAUAACUCAAUCUUAACCAGUUAUAGUCAUUACCAGUUGGAUAUAACAGUGUACGCUCUAGAUGUUAAAGAAAGACUCAAAGUAACAUGAUAAUGUUUUGUGCUUGUA